rnacentral:rRNA from 1 species
AGAGUUUGAUCCUGGCUCAGGAUGAACGCUAGCUACAGGCUUAACACAUGCAAGUCGAGGGGCAGCAUGGUCUUAGCUUGCUAAGGCCGAUGGCGACCGGCGCACGGGUGAGUAACGCGUAUCCAACCUGCCUUACACUCUUGGACAGCCUUCUGAAAGGGAGAUUAAUACAAGAUGUUAUCAUGAGUAAGCAUUUUCGCAUGAUUAAAGGUUUACCGGUGUAAGAUGGGGAUGCGUUCCAUUAGAUAGUAGGCGGGGUAACGGCCCACCUAGUCUUCGAUGGAUAGGGGUUCUGAGAGGAAGGUCCCCCACAUUGGAACUGAGACACGGUCCAAACUCCUACGGGAGGCAGCAGUGAGGAAUAUUGGUCAAUGGACGAGAGUCUGAACCAGCCAAGUAGCGUGAAGGAUGAAGGUUCUAUGGAUUGUAAACUUCUUUUAUACGGGAAUAAACGAAUCCACGCGUGGAUCUUUGCAUGUACCGUAUGAAUAAGGAUCGGCUAACUCCGUGCCAGCAGCCGCGGUAAUACGGAGGAUCCGAGCGUUAUCCGGAUUUAUUGGGUUUAAAGGGAGCGUAGAUGGGUUGUUAAGUCAGUUGUGAAAGUUUGCGGCUCAACCGUAAAAUUGCAAUUGAUACUGGCAGUCUUGAGUACAGUUGAGGUAGGCGGAAUUCGUGGUGUAGCGGUGAAAUGCUUAGAUAUCACGAAGAACUCCGAUUGCGAAGGCAGCUUACUAACCUGUAACUGACAUUGAUGCUCGAAAGUGUGGGUAUCAAACAGGAUUAGAUACCCUGGUAGUCCACACGGUAAACGAUGAAUACUCGCUGUAGGCGAUAUACAGUCUGCGGCCAAGCGAAAGCAUUAAGUAUUCCACCUGGGGAGUACGCCGGCAACGGUGAAACUCAAAGGAAUUGACGGGGGCCCGCACAAGCGGAGGAACAUGUGGUUUAAUUCGAUGAUACGCGAGGAACCUUACCCGGGCUUAAAUUGCAACCGAAUAUGGCGGAAACGCUAUAGCUAGCAAUAGCGGUUGUGAAGGUGCUGCAUGGUUGUCGUCAGCUCGUGCCGUGAGGUGUCGGCUUAAGUGCCAUAACGAGCGCAACCCUUGCCGAUAGUUACUAACAGGUCAUGCUGAGGACUCUGUCGGGACUGCCAUCGUAAGAUGUGAGGAAGGUGGGGAUGACGUCAAAUCAGCACGGCCCUUACGUCCGGGGCUACACACGUGUUACAAUGGGGGGUACAGAGGGCUGCUACCACGCAAGUGGAUGCCAAUCCCAAAAACCUCUCUCAGUUCGGAUUGAAGUCUGCAACCCGACUUCAUGAAGCUGGAUUCGCUAGUAAUCGCGCAUCAGCCACGGCGCGGUGAAUACGUUCCCGGGCCUUGUACACACCGCCCGUCAAGCCAUGGGAGCCGGGGGUACCUGAAGUGCGUAACCGCAAGGAGCGCCCUAGGGUAAAACUGGUGACUGGGGCUAAGUCGUAACAAGGUAGCCG